rnacentral:rRNA from 1 species
CCUUACCUACCCUUGACAUGUACGGAAUCCCGCUGAGAGGCGGGAGUGCCCGAAAGGGAGCCGUAACACAGGUGCUGCAUGGCUGUCGUCAGCUCGUGUCGUGAGAUGUUGGGUUAAGUCCCGCAACGAGCGCAACCCUUGUCCCUAGUUGCUACGCAAGAGCACUCCAGGGAGACUGCCGGUGACAAACCGGAGGAAGGUGGGGAUGACGUCAAGUCCUCAUGGCCCUUAUGGGUAGGGCUUCACACGUCAUACAAUGGUCGGAACAGAGGGUUGCCAAGCCGCGAGGUGGAGCCAAUCCCAGAAAACCGUUCGUAGUCCGGAUCGCAGUCUGCAACUCGACUGCGUGAAGCUGGAAUCGCUAGUAAUCGCGGAUCAG